GGAGUGGUAGUUCAGCAGUAGAAUUCUUGCCUCCUAUGCAAGAGACCCAAGUUCGAUUCCCGGCCAAUGCA
rnacentral:tRNA from 1 species